rnacentral:tRNA from 1 species
AGCACUGUGGUGAAUAAUCAUAUAGGAUUGCAGAUCUAAGAAGUAGGUAAGACCUGCCGGGGCUU